rnacentral:rRNA from 1 species
UACGAAGGGGGCUAGCGUUGCUCGGAAUCACUGGGCGUAAAGCGCACGUAGGCGGCUUUCUAAGUCAGGGGUGAAAUCCUGGAGCUCAACUCCAGAACUGCCUUUGAUACUGGAGAACUCGAGUCCGGAAGAGGUGAGUGGAACUCCGAGUGUAGAGGUGAAAUUCGUAGAUAUUCGGAAGAACACCAGUGGCGAAGGCGGCUCACUGGUCCGGUACUGACGCUGAUGUGCGAAAGCGUGGGGAGCAAACAGG